rnacentral:lncRNA from 1 species
ACCCGCCGCCGUCGGGGGCUUCGUGUGACCCCCCCGGGCUGAAAUUGAGGGGGAGAGACCCCAAAAUCCUCCCCCUAAAACGAGGAGGGGGCUGAAUGGCACCGCCAGCCUCGCUCCAGACCCAAAACUGGGGGAUUUAACCCCAAAAUGAGAGGGUUUAGCCCCAAAUUGAGGCUCUCAGUGGGGUCACCCUCAAUUUUUGCCGCCCACACCUGUGGGUUUUGGGGUGUCCUGCUUCCCCCCACAUCGUGCUGAACCCAAACCGAGGGGUUUUAGCCCCAAAAUGGAAUUUGGGUUUGGCCCCAAAAUAGGCGUUUUUAGCCCCAAACUGGGGUCUCUCCCCCCCCGAUUUGGGGGUGUGUUUGGGGGGUGGGGGGAGCCUCUGUGCCGCCGCUUGACCCCCACCUGCAUGGCCGGGCUGGGGGGACCCCCAAAAUUCAGUGGGGGGACCCCAAAACCGUCCCCACGCAUGGUUGGGAUGGGGGGAACCCCUGAAUUUUGGGGAGGGGGUUCCCCAGCAUGGCUGGAAUGGGGAGGGGACCCCAAAAUUUCAUGUGGGGACUCCAGAACUGCCCCCACCCCCGGCAUGGCUGAAAUGGGGUGGGGACCCCAAAAUUCCGUGUGGGUUAUGCUGUGGGGGAGGGGACACACAGGAGACCCCCAAAAUGCCACGUGGGGGCUGGAGUGGAGGGAGGGGAACCCCAAAAUUCUGUGUGGGGACCCCAAAACCGGACCCAAAAUUCUGCGUGGGGGUCCCAAAAAUCAGACCCCAAAAUUCUGCGUGAGGACCCCAAAAUUCUGUGUGGGGGUCCCAAAAUUCUGUGUGGGGUUCCCAGAACCAGACCCCAAAAUUCUGUGUGGGGGUCCCAAAACCAGACCCCAAAAUUCUGUGUGGGGACCCCAUAAUUCUGUGUGGGGACCCCAAAACUGCCCCCCGCCAUGGGAGGGGACCCCAAAAGCCCCGCGGGGGUGCACGAGGUCACCAAACGGGUGGGACAGAGUGGGGGACACACAGACAGAGGAGGGGACAGGGGGACCCCAGCCCCGCCUGACGCCGUCCCCGUCCCCCAGCAGCGUCCC